GUCAGAAGUAGUGUACUAUAUAGGGAAUAAUGCUGGUCAGAAGUAGUGUACUAUAUAGGGAAUAAUGCUGGUCAGAAGUAGUGUACUAUUUAGGGAAUAAUGCUGGUCAGAAGUAGUGUACUAUUUAGGGAAUAAUGCUGGUCAGAAGUAGUGUACUAUAUAGGGAAUAAUGCUGGUCAGAAGUAGUGUACUAUAUAGGGAAUAAUGCUGGUCAGAAGUAGUGUAUAUAUAAGAUAUUGGGCUCUUGUCUAAAGUAAUGUGCUACCCAGGGAAUACAGUGCCAUUCAUUGAGUGGGAAUGGGACUGAUGUGCUGCUAUGCGAAGCUAAAACCUCUCUGGACAUAAUAGGCUUUCACUGUAAAUCUGUCUUCUGUGAAGAGUUUCUCUCCUCAGGCAACCUAAAGGCUAAACUAAAUGUACCUAAUUAUAAAGCUACAAAACACUGUGGCAAACUUCACAUAAUCUUCAAGAAACAACCUGAAGAUUCCCAAUGACCCACUCUCUGACUUUUGUACAAUUAUUCUGACAGAGGGUAUGGUUAGGUUUAGGUUAGAUUUAGGGUUAGGCUGGGCUUAGGGUUAGGUUAACCAGACGACACAAGCCAUGAUUACUGAUACUUGUCUGGGUUUGUUACACUUCACCCCCAUGGGACCUUGACAAUUUCCUGGAGCCUUUCAGAACACAAUAAGGCCACGAGAUAAAAUAAAAACGCUUCAAACACCUUAUGAAUGUCUUCCACGAAACCCUUUCUCUAAGACAGAGAGAACUAGAUUAAGAAUAGUCUAGUGGACUAUGGGAGGGCAAUGAGACUGGAACAUAAAAUGUAAUGGAACCACGAAAAAACACCACUACAUGGUACAUGCUCUAAUAAACCAGAGAGGGGUCAGACUCACCCACUCGGGCUGCCCGUCCAGUGGACAGCGGCGUGGCUGGCUGGUGGGUUGAUGUGGGUCUGGCUGUCAACAGCUGGUCCGGGAGCAGCAGCACGGCGUGGCUGGCUGGUGGGUUGAUGUGGGUCUGGCUGUCAACAGCUGGUCCUGGAGCAGCAGCACGGCGUGGCUGGCUGGUGGGUUGAUGUGGGUCUGGCUGUCAACAGCUGAUCCGGAAACAGCAGAACGGUGUGUCUGGGGAAGGGUUCAAGGCAAACCAGAGUGGUGGGGCUAGCCUACACAGGGCAGCUCUCCUCUUGGACCAAACAGAAUCUCCUCAGAGGAGUUGUGCUCUGCACUCUGACAGGAGGCUCCUAACAGGAGGUUAGGAAUGCUGUCCUAUCAAACCUCCCCCCACUGUAUCCCUUUUCUCCCUC
ensembl:lncRNA